UACGUAGGCAGCAAGCGUUGUUCGGAGUUACUGGGCGUAAAGGGUGUGUAGGCGGUUGUUUAAGUUUGGUGUGAAAUCUCCAGGCUCAACCUGGAGGGGUCAUUCGAUACUGCCAUGACUAGAGUUCGGUAGGGGAGUGUGGAAUUCCUGGUGGAGCGGUGAAAUGCGCAGAUAUCAGGAGGAACACCCGUAGCGAAGGCGGCACUCUGGGCCGAUACUGACACUGAGGAGCGAAAGCGUGGGGAGCGAACAGG
rnacentral:rRNA from 1 species